GACGUAGGGCGCGAGCGUUGUCCGGAUUUAUUGGGCGUAAAGAGCGUGUAGGCGGCCCGGUAAGUCCGCUGUAAAAGUCAAAGGCUCAACCUUUGAAUGUCAGUGGAUACUGCCGGGCUAGAGUCCGGAAGAGGCGAGUGGAACUCCUGGUGUAGCGGUGGAAUGCGCAGAUAUCAGGAGGAACACCGGUGGCGAAGGCGGGAUCCUGGGCCAGUACUGACGCUGAGGAGCGAAAGCGUGGGGAGCAAACAGG
rnacentral:rRNA from 1 species